rnacentral:ncRNA from 1 species
CGGUGAGAAGGGCAAACCCGGUGCGAGCCGGAGACGCAAAGCCACGGGGCCCCAGGGGUCAGCCGGGCUACCGAA